GAUGACUGUAGGUGAAAGCUUACAUCUCUUCGGAGCAUUUUACGAGGUGCUGCAUGGUUGUCGUCAGCUCGUGCCGUGAGGUGUCGGGUUAAGUCCCAUAACGAGCGCAACCCCUACCUUUAGUUGCCAUCAGGUAAUGCUGGGGACUCUAAAGGAACUGCCUACGCAAGUAGUGAGGAAGGCGGGGAUGACGUCAAAUCAGCACGGCCCUUACGUCCAGGGCUACACACGUGCUACAAUGGCCGAUACAGAGGGCAGCUACCUGGUGACAGGAUGCAAAUCUCCAAAGUCGGUCUCAGUUCGGAUCGGAGUCUGCAACCCGACUCCGUGAAGUUGGAUUCGCUAGUAAUCGCGCAUCAGCCAUGGCGCGGUGAAUACGUUCCCGGGCCUU
rnacentral:rRNA from 1 species